CUGUGCUGGUGAUAAGAAAAACGGUCCUGGUUCUGUGCUCCUAUGUCCUGGUUCUGUGCCUUUAUAUUUUAGUUAAAAGUGGCAUAUAUUCAAGAUCAUUGAUGUUGUACUGUUAUUGACUAUUUAACUGUUGUCUGCUUUCUUGAAAUUGACAUUGUUGUGAAUCUGUUUACUGUUAUUAUGAGAGAAAAAAUACCCCUAUUUUUAUUUUUUUUUU
rnacentral:lncRNA from 1 species